UUUGAUUUUUAAUUUUAGGGUGAAAUCAGAAAUUAUUUUUAUUUAAACUCUAAAUUUUAAGAUUUAGUAAACAAACCAGAUUAGUACCUGGUUAGAUAAAAUUUAAAAGAGCAGGAGUAAAGUUAUAUUUAAACUGUAAGAAUAUUGGCAGGUUUUUAAAUUAUCUUUGGAGGCUGAGUAGUGAUUGAGAGCCCUCAUUUUCAACUUUUUCUUUAGGCGCAUGUAUGAUCGUUUAUUUUAUUCUUAAGGAUUGUAAUUUUAGUCUUUGCUAUAAAAAUAGAUAGAUAUCUGGCUUAUGAGAAAGAUUUAAUUUGGCCUACAAUAAUUUAAUUUUUGGAUUCUAGUUUUAGAGGCUAGAUGAAAUUGUAAAAGACAGUAAGUUGCUUUUAAUGGGUGGCUGAAGUUUAUUUAAAAACGGUACAAAUCAUCCAUUCAAUUGCCAA
rnacentral:rRNA from 1 species